CCAGCAAGAUUAAAAUAAGAUUAAGUCACUAGAAAAUCCUUUGAGAUGUACUACUACUGCGAAACCAAAAAUCGGAGCUGAAAAUUAAGAUCAAACCAAUAAGCACUCUCCCAUGUCAGUCAUAAGGCUUCACAAGUGAAAUAUGAGCCUUCAAGCAACUGCCUGCAUGCUUCGUAUCCAAAAUGCAGAAGCAUUUAUCCCCUGUUGCAUAAGUACUCACUUCGUACUUGGAUUAAUCAGUGGCAUAAUCUUGCCCCAAUUGUUUUGCACAUUGAAAUGGUACACGUAGUUGCUCAAUUAGAGGUAAUCCGAGAGGCAAAUGUGGAUUUUACUCAUACACAAACACGCUGAUCGCGCAGCGAACCACCAAAUUCCCCAGCGGGCGGAACCUGAAGCAACACCACCACCGCAAAAUCAACCACUACCCGUACCGGCAACACCUUGGAAGCCAUGAACCUAGGGUUUGGAGUUGGGGAUUUACCUCAUAGAGGCUCUUGCUCUCUACGGCGGCCGGCGCGGGCUCCUGCUCCUCCUCACCACUGCCGUCGCCGUCGCGGGAAACCCUAGCCUU
rnacentral:lncRNA from 1 species